rnacentral:lncRNA from 12 species
CCUUGGCUCAGUAUCAAUCUUAUCUUUUGCUAUAAAGAAAAGAAGGCUGAAGAAACCCUAUUUUACAUCUUAGGAAAUUGAAAUAACAGCAAUUGAAUUCAGGACAAAACAAUCAAAUAUCACAUCAUUGAUGGGUUUUAAUUUCUUUUUCUAAAUAACCUGUCUCAAACUAUAAAACAAACCAUCUUCUGGUCACCCACGUUUGCUGAUGGACCCAGUUUCAAACAGUUUCCAGGUCAAUCACAAACCACCAUUUAACUGGACUAAGUCACAAGCUUACCCUGCAGCAGCCCCUCAAAAGUCUGUUUUCUGGAGCUACAAGUAGGUUGCAGAGUGGUGUGAGCAGGAUAUCCAGAAAUGGAUGGUGAUGCCUCUGGGUGGGACAGGCUCUGCAGCUGAUACGAGUCCCAAUUUUCAUGGCACAGUGGGACAAGAAGAGCCCUGGGGAUCCAGAAGGUGCUGUGCAAAGCGGAGGAGGACACAUCUCCCAACUGCCCUGUUUGGCAGCACCUAUGCUAAGUAGAUGUUUGUGUUGCUUUCCUGGGCCUGCCAACAAGAAAGCUGAGGUGGAGGAUGAGCCUGGUGUCCUGGAAAAGCCGCAGAGUCAGACUGAGAGCGUGCGGGUGUGGCAGAGCUUUUCAGCUCCCCUUGCUGCACACAGCCUUUUCACAAAGGCAGAGCUGGGACUUGUCUGUAUUUCUCUUCCUGCUGUCCUUCUAAACACCAUUCUGCACACAAAUGUGCCCAUGCACUUGAAGCUCAUACUUUCCAGGAGAUGCACGUUACCUUGCCUUCUUCAAGCCUCUCUAUGGCUUAUACUGCAGCUGAUCCCAAAGCAGGAGUGAGGGGGAAAAUGGUAGUGGAAAUUCAAGGAAAGAAGGAAGCCAGGGCAGCUCUGACAGCUUUUAUGUCUCCUAAAGUUGGCAUGGACAUACACAGACUGGGGGAAGCACAUGUAUCCAUGUUUCUUGCUCACAGCAGUUUGGAAUGGGGGUAAGAAAACCUAACAUCCCAAACCCAAGCCAUUUUCCUAAAUGAGCUAUUGGAGAUCUUUGGUGCUGCCUCCCAAAGUCACCUCCUGGCUCAGUACAGCUGGUGGCACCUGUCUCCUCCAGCAGUGCCUGCAAGUGUAUGGGAAGCAGGUGGAGGCACAACUGGGGAAACGGGGAGAUGCAGAGGAGGGUGGAUGGAUCAAAUGUCCAGAACAGAGAGAGAAAUUUGAAAUCCCACAGAGGGAAUCCUUCCUUCUCUUGGAAGGCACUUUGAAGGGUUGUUUUAAAAGAUUUCUCCAGUGGACUCAAGAAGAAGAAGACAUGCUCAAGGUACAAGCAUGUAUUGCUUUCAGGUUCAUGGGCAUUUAGGGACAGCUUGAUCUGCUUAAGAUGCAAAAGAUAGUCCAAGGUAGACUAAAAGUUUGGAACAAAACUGAGGGACAUGAUGUUGUUACAACCAGAUAAACAGUCUGAUCUUCUUUCAAAGUUAAGCAGAUUUUACUAUAGUUAUUUCUACAUUACAUCCUCCUGUUUUGUACUUCCGAUGAAGUACUGUCUCCAGAGAAUGAAACCCCUCUAUACCCACAUGGCUGGGCGAAGCUGCUCAGGUCCUGCUGGGAAAUGAAACCUGUCCCCAGAAAGAAGUUAUCCAUAAACAGUGAAAAUACUUGUCAAAAUUGUACAGAGAGCCUUUUAAUUAAAAGAAAAAUAAAGCAAAGCAAAC